UUUUACACAUAUAAAUAUGAGCUCUUUGUCUAUCGUCAAUAAGUAAGAAGCUGGUCUUCAUUGUUAAUGGUAUUUUCUAGUUGCUGAAGUUCAGCAUGAAGUUCAUUGAAAUGCUUUUCGUUGUGUUGGUGGCCGUUUUUUGGCUGCCACAGACUGUCCUGAGCUGUGCUCCCAAUGGUACUCCUUGUCAGCCAGACGGAAGUACUGAUUGCUGCUCCGGAUUCUGCUACAAGCAAGUAGGGUGGAGGGAAGGAAACUGCAAGGACCGUUAAACCCUAACAGAAGUUUUGAAUCCCAUCCCAUAAUAUGAAAAAUGUAGUUUCAGUUAUGUGUACUGCAUAAUAAACAGCUUUAUCUAAA